CUCCCCGUGCCGACCCUCGCGAGCGGCCGAGGGGAAAGGCAGGUGACAAAAGGGAGCCCCGCCGACCGGCCGGGGUCACGGCAGAGAGCGCGCCGUGUUCUGGAAGGACCGCCCGCGGCCCGCCAUGUUUGAUUCUGGCAAAAGCGAAAGGAUCCGGUUGGAAUACCUUCUCCUGCCCGAACUAAUACACCACGUGCCGACCUUUCGCUUUUUAUUGGCUGAUGACGCCUGAUCGGAAAAUGUACAGUUCUUACGGAGUUUCUGCCGUUGGAGGCGCACAAGUCCGAAACGUUUUUAGAACUCAGGAAACAGAGGCGAACAGACUGCGAAGUAGAGAACCAUGAUCGGUAUGAUUCAAGACAGUCUAGGAUUACGUUCUGAACGUCCAAGUGAGAAGUAAAAGCGUUGUAAAGCUUAACAGACAGGGAAGAUUUGUGGCAGGAGUCACCCAGAACUUGAAGGACAACGUCGGGCAAGCGCACAUACGUAAUAGCAUUUGCACUGCAUUGCCACUUUGGAAAUAGCGCAAGGGGCAGUGGGCAACGUUAUUCACCCACAAGGCAAUGUGGGGAAAGACAACCGUUUGGUCAUUCCAACCCUGGAGCAGCUUGAACUCCAGAUUAGAAAAAAAAAAAAUUAAAUAGAGCAAAUCGUGUCAAUAGUGAGUUGGUCACAGGAGAGCACAUCAUGAUUCAAGCCGUUUGCCCUUCUUUGGGGUCCAACUAGUUGCUGGAAUCAAGUUCCAAAAAGGCAGCCUCUGGAAACAGGACUGAAGGAAAAACUCACCGAUAUCACUGGAGCCCCAAAUCUGGGCAGGGCACUGUGUCUUCCCCAUCACUUUCCUUCUCCACCCACAUUGAGUCACCCAGUUCUCCACCCUUGCACUGUUUUCUUCUUUUUUCCCUCCUAUACAUAUUUUUUAUUCACCUGAGUGUAACGUGUUGAAAAACUGAACUCAUAAUUUCCCUCCUCCAACCUGCUCAUCCUCCUUCAUUCUUUCAUCUCUGCUGGUGGCGUCAUGAGUAACCUCCCACCCACUAAUCCCAGCCAGAAGCCUGCGACUCAUCCUUUCAGGAUUCCACCCUCUCCCAUCCUCCCACCCCCAAUUUACACGGAAGUCUUUCAUCUGCUUAUUAGCUCUGAAAAUGUCUUAGGCUUGCCAUCUCCUCUCCAACCCCCCUGGACUAUGUGAAUUAGGCUCUCAUUACCUCUCUCCCAAACUACCUUCAUAGCUUCCUAAACGGUUUCUCUGCCUUUCCACCUUGACCUUCUCAGACUCCUGGGUCGGCAGUGAUCUAAAUGCAAAUCUGAACACAUCGUGCGUCUCUAUCAUGGAUUAGGUGAAGGCGAAGUUCCUUAAGAUAGAGCACAUCCACCCUGGAGUUCCUGUCGUAGCCUGAAGCUGUGUGUCGCCUGUGCGCAUGCGCGCACCAUCCCAGCCCCGAAACCCGAGAAGAGCCAGGCCAGCGGAUUCCUGAGCACCCAGAGACCUUUGUGCCACAUCAUCUCCUCACCCUCCACCCACAUACCUUUGCUCCAGCAACACAGGAUCAUCUUCUGUUGCCCAAGCAAGUCAUGUAUUUUCACGUCUCUACGCCUUUGCUUAUCUCGUUCUGUUUCUAUUGUUUUCUGUCCUCCUCUGCUGUUCCUCAAGGUUCGCUAUUAAACCCCUCCCCGACCCUUAAUCAGAAUCCCCUCCCCUCUAUGUUACCCAAAUAGCAGUAAUCACAGUUGAAUUCUUGUUAUAAUCAGUUAGUUAGUUACUUCUUUGGCUAGCUCCUUGUUCAUACUCUCCGGGUGUGAAGACCCAUCUCUGUACCCCUUUAUAAGGCCUGUGUGUGGCCCAUUGUCACCAUAUAUUAAGGGAAAGGUGCAUUAGCCAAAUCACCACCGAAGAAAAGACUCAGACAAACAGGAUGCCCAGAGCUGCCUCUGCACAAAACCACAACAGCUGACAAUUUGUGUGGCUACAAAAAGGAGUCCUAAUUUCACAAUGCUGUCCUAAUUAGCUCCAAAUAAUUCUCUCUCCCCCCCCCCACGUUCCUCAGGGAAUUCACAAAUACUUACGAAAGUCAAAACUAAGAAUCGUAUAGCAAAUACAAGAUUCUAAGAAUCUUACAGCAAAGCAGCCAGACUCAGUAUAAACCAAGUAAUUCCGACUGAGGGUUCUGCAGAUUUAUCAAGGAAAGCUGGUUGCAGAAACACAGCAGUAGAAAUCAGCUGAACAGAGCCUGUAUGACAGCACUGAGGGAUGUGUUUUGUAUGUACGGGGAAGAGGUCUCUGAUUUUCACAUACUAACCUCAAAAAGAUGCAAGCAUCUCUAAACAGUGAAAGGACUAACAAUGAAAAUAAUAAGAAAGCUUCAUUAAGCUUUCUUAAUAAAUGUUCCAAAGCGCCUUCCGUGUCGUGUAUCAACUCAUUUUAUCUGCCCGAGAGUUCUCUGACUGUGGGUACUAUUAUCACCCCCACUUUACCGAUAAGGUAACUGAGACCAGAGAGGUGAAGUCGUUUGCCCACGUUCACACCCCUCAGACAAGAGCAGAGCCAAGACUCAAACCCAGGCAGCCCCGCUCCAGAGUCCAAACUUGCGUCUCUGUCAUUCGGAAGUGCCUGACAUUGGCUACUGAGUAGCUAUGGCAUGCUAGGAAUUUGGCAGAAAAUUUACAAACCUUUCUUUUCUUUCUUUCUCCCCCCCACCGCCCCGCCACGUCCCCCACCGGCCCCCACAGCUGCCCUGUGGCUUUUGGCCCCGGCCAGGGAUCCGAUCUGAGCUGUAGUGAGACCUGUUCUGCAGCUGCGGCCACAGCAGAUCCUUAACGCAGCAGAUCCCCCGGCUGGGGAUAGAACCUGCAACCCAGCACUGCAGACAUGCCAGUGGCCCUGCUGCACCACAGCGGGAACUCCUAAAUGCCUUAUUUCUAAUCCUUACAGAAGUCCGUGAUGAAUUUGAAUUUCCUACGUAAGUUGAGAGCAAGCUGUGCGUGACAUCUGUCAACCCCACCGACGGCCAGAAUCGAUCUGGUGCAUCUGCCGUGCCUGAAAGCUGUCCGCUUUCUUCCCGGCUCUGUCACAUGCGUCUCUCUCAAAGCCACACGCCUCACUGAAGAGGCUGAUGUGCCUAGACAGACAAGGACGAGGACCUGUAAGGAGUCAGGUUCUUCUGCAGGAGCAUCCAAGGCUCGUUACCUACAUCUCCCACUCGCUGUGUCUCUGCACUAGGCGAGGAGCCACUCGAAGGUGACUUCGUUUUUUGUGUCUCCAGCCCCCCAGCACAAUACCCGGCACGUGUCGGACUCUAAAGUGUUUGUGGAAGUUCCCUCGUGGCACAGUGGGUUAAGGAUGGGGCGCGGGCUGCAACUGCAGCGUGGGUUCAAUCCCUGGCCCAGGAAUAUCCACAUGCAGGGGGAGGGAUGUGCGUGGAAUUAAUUAAAAGGAAACACCCAAACCACCAGGUCCAGGAUUUAGACAGCUUCAAUUCUACAUUAAGGCAACACAUAUUAAUAAAAAUAGAGCCAGGCAAAAUUCAGUCAGGCACACACACGGUUUAACUUCCUGAGAGUCUUUACCCAGCCCACCGUUUACCGGCAGAAAAAAGCAGAGUCCGAGGACAGCCAGUAGAGGGCACCACACACCAAAUAUAGUCAAAAUUUGGGGGCAGAAAUGGAGCCCGUGUUCCAAAUACUGCAGGUCUGCAGUGUUGUAAAUACACCAGGGUAGCAAACAUCCCUGUGGGCCUGUGCUCGGCACCUACCCGAACUUCUCUUUGGGUUUAAUUAGGCAUGAAUUUCCCCGUUGGCCUCAUGGCACUAGAUUCCAUUUUUAGAGAUGAAUUUAAAGGGUGAAUCAAGAGAACGCUGGUUUGAAUGGUACGUUUGAAAACAAGACACGAAAUUGCGUGUGGAAUCUGAAAACAGCAAUGUUAAUACCUUUUUUAAAAGACAGCACGAGGAAGAAAUGCAAAGGAAAAUCCCAAAGCGCGGACAGUGAUUCUUUUUGUGAUGACUGUUUAUGUGCACAGACAUCCACGUUUGCCCUGCUAUGGUCUCCAAAUUUUUGAGCAUGUGUACAAUGUGAAAUACACAUUUGAAUCAAAACCAGAUGUCAUACUUAUUAAUAGUUAGUUUUAUAAGAACUUCUCCUUAGCUAAAUGUAUUGCAGUCUCUUUGUAGGUGUAGUUACUGUUGGGGUAGGGUUAGGAGUUGCUGCUGGCCGUUUGGGUCAGUGCUUCUCAAGCUGGGCUCUACCCUAGAAUCAUCUGGGCACUUUCAACAAGUUCCAGGAGGCAGGCCUCACUUUGGAGAGUUCGAUUUAAUGAUGAACUAAAUCUGUCCCCAGGAGGUCAUUUUCAAGACCCUCAGAAGAGAUGCUAUUGGAAUAAACUCUCUCCCGUUUCGGUGACUUCUCUUUCUUGAGAGAUGUUGAAGCUAGAAGAGAAACUUUAUGGACUGCGUAACCACACGUUGACGGAUCGACCCCUGGGUGUGAGAUGGGGCGCCAGUACACCCUCCACCCGGGCCGGUACAGACACAUGCACAUCCUUCCGCUCUAAAACCCGGCUUAGUUCCAGUAUUCCGUGUAACUACCCUGCAGCCCUGGGGAGGUCAUUAGCUAAUGACAGUAAAGGGCUUUUAAAUGGAAACACGUGUCGUAUGAGGCGAAACACGGGCAACAGAGGAUUUCCACUCGCUGCCAGUACUUCCCAGCCAGACGGCUUAUGCAUCUUCACCCAAUGUCUCUUUAGCAACUGAAAUCUUCCUAAUAUUUAUUUCUAAACAAAUGGAGUUCUUUUAUUUAUGUUUUUAUUUAUUUGUCUUUUUUGCCAUUUCUAAGGCCGCUCCCGCGGCAUAUGGAGGUUCCCAGGCUAGGGGUCUAAUUGGAGCUGUAGCUGCCGGUCUCUGCCAGAGCCACAGCAAUGAGGGAUCCAAGCCACGUCUGCAACCGACACCGCAGCUCACGGCAUCGCCGGAUCCUUAACCCACUAAGCAAGGCCAGGGACCAAACCUGCAACCUCAUGGUUCUUAGUCAGAUUCACUAACCACUGCGUCACGACGGGAACUCCCGUCAAAUAGAGUUCUUUAAAAAAUAAAAUAAAUAAAAGGCUUUUCUAAACAUCAAAGACCCAAGAUAGGACCCCUCUACUCUCUCAGAAGCAAGGUUCCUGCCUCAACAGAACACACAUAGUAGUGUGGUUUGUGUGAAUGAAGUUUAGGCAGUUGAGUGGUCUGCCUGGACCAUCAAAGGCGGGUUCCAUGAAAGGCUUACACUGGUAAUUCAGCAUCCGUCCUGGCACCACCCUAUGCAUCACCUUUGGCUUUAAAGCAAAUGAUUUGUGCACAUGGUAAUAAAUCAAAUAGCAUGAAAGCACCUCCAACGAAACGCAACGGGCUUUUCCCUUCUCCUUGCUGAGCCAGCGCCAGUCCUCGAGGGACAGUCUGGUUUCGGUGGGAGCGAGACCAGGCGGUGUUUAUUUCCCCGGCGCUGUCUCUGGCUUCAUGCAUUCUCAGCUUCCGUCCGUAUAGGUCUGAAAACCACCAGGCAUCUCAUGCUGCCCUUCUCUUCCCAGCGUUUAACAACAUUGAUGAGCGCUUCAUUUCCUCUACGGGAACUAAACUUUUCCACUUUUCAGCACGGACGCAAACGUCUACUUUUAAUAGAACACCUGUGGGUUUCCUGUGUAAAAUGAAGGUACUGGAUGCCCGUCCCAUUCCUCCACUGUUCCUCUCCCUUCUCUUUUGGUCAGCAGCACUUUAUCACUAACAAGAGUGUUAAUAUUUACAUUCUGUACUGCAAUUGCAAACAAUUCUUUCCUCCUUUAUCUGUGGGUUGACUUUAGAAGUUAAUGGCUUCUAGACGUCCUUCCCAAGGGGUGGUAUGAGAGGUGAGGGCAAAGGGGAACUUGACAUUGGAGAAACCUGGCAAACGUGACCUCACCCAGGUUGUCGAGUUCAGGAGGAGUGAGCAGGCCUGUUGCUAGUACGUACCUUUGAUUUCAUGUGACAAAAACGGCCCUGGAACCUUGUGGUCCUUUCUGCAAACCACACAACAUCAUUCUAAUCAUAAGGAAACCAGCACACAGACCUCAAAAGGGGGAUAUUGUACAAAACACCUGACCUGUGCUCAGACCCGUCAAGGUCAUCAAAAGAAAGGAAGGCUGAGAAACUUCCAAGAGGAGUCUAAGGAGACAGGAUAGUAUCUGGGAUGGGAUCUUAGAACAGAAGACAUUAGUUCAAAACUAAAGAAAUCUGGGGGAAAAAAAAAAAAAGAUGGAUUCUAAUUAAUCAUGAUAUAUUAACACUUGCUCAGUAAUUAUAACAAACAUGAUACUUGUGUAAGAUGUUAAUAAUUGGGGACUCUGUAGUGUCUUUACAAUUUUUCUGUAAAUCUAAAACUGUUCGACAAAAUAAAGUGUAUUAAACUAUAAUAAACAAUAUGCUGUAUAUGUUUUAUCAUGACCAAUACAAACAUUGUUCAAUGUUAAUAUUUUAGGAUGACAUAUUCCGUGGACCCGGUGUUUUAAGCCCUGGGUCUCUCAAACGAGGCUAUUUCUGGCACCGAGGGCUAAUGGAUUGCCUCUUCCUACACUCUAUGAACUGCCUCUGUUCAUGCCUGGUUGUAGGGUACUUCAUAUGUGGUCUAUGUCUUUGUUGUUCUGAAUUUGUUUUUUCUCAAGUUUCUGGUCAUUUACAUCUUGGGUGUUCUAGCCUAUGGCAUUUUCUGCCCAAUUCAACCAUUAAUCCUCUCCUUUCACUUUUUAUCUUUUAGAAAUUUGUCAAAAAUCUUCAGUCCAUGGACUGCUACCUCUUCCAGUAGCACACAUUUUUGGGGGCGGGCUGGGGUACUUAUUCACUUUUAUUUCAGGGGAGUCACGGGGAGGUAGGUGCACAAGGCUUAGUCUCCUGUCUUGAAAGAGAAGCUACUUCACCUUCUGUGCAGUUUCAUCCAUCCUUACCGAGACUGCACUAGCUCAGCUCUGGCUCAAAGAAAGGAAAAGCAUGCGGAUUCAGACUCUGGCCAGUGUGCAGUCCUUGAGAAAAAAGUGGCCUUGCUGCCACAAGAUAUUUCUGGAAGCACAUUCCUCAGAUCAAUCCUCUUAUAUUUAUUUUUAAAGAAACACAUGAUUGUGGGGAAAAUGAGUUAUUUGAAAAGAAAGGUGCCUGGAUCUUUUUUUAGCAGAUCCCCAGUAAAGCACAUGCUGCCUUGCGUUGUCUUAGAUGACACAAGUGGUCCUCAAAGAAUUACAGAAGAUGGCAGUUCCUGCUGUGGCUCAGCGG